GCACAAGCGGUGGAGCAUGUGGUUUAAUCGAAGCAACGCGAAGAACCUUACCAGGUCUUGACAUCCCGAUGCUAUUUCUAGAGAUAGAAAGUUACUUCGGUACAUCGGUGACAGGUGGUGCAUGGUUGUCGUCAGCUCGUGUCGUGAGAUGUUGGGUUAAGUCCCGCAACGAGCGCAACCCUCGCCUCUAGUUGCCAGCAUUCGGUUGGGCACUCUAGAGGGACUGCCGGCGACAAGUCGGAGGAAGGUGGGGAUGACGUCAAAUCAUCAUGCCCCUUAUGACCUGGGCUACACACGUGCUACAAUGGGCGGUACAAAGGGCUGCGAACCCGCGAGGGGGAGCGAAUCCCAAAAAGCCGCUCUCAGUUCGGAUUGCAGGCUGCAACUCGCCUGCAUGAAGCCGGAAUCGCUAGUAAUCGCGGAUCGGCAUGCCGCGGUGAAUACGUUCCCGGGCCUU
rnacentral:rRNA from 1 species